UACGGAGGGUGCGAGCGUUAUCCGGAUUCACUGGGUUUAAAGGGUGCGUAGGUGGGUCUGUAAGUCAGUGGUGAAAUCUCCGGGCUUAACCUGGAAACUGCCAUUGAUACUAUAGGUCUUGAAUUUUCUGGAGGUAAGCGGAAUAUGUCAUGUAGCGGUGAAAUGCUUAGAUAUGACACAGAACACCGAUUGCGUAGGCAGCUCACUAAACUGUAACUGACGCUGAGGCACGAAAGCGUGGGGGAGCAAACAGG
rnacentral:rRNA from 1 species